rnacentral:lncRNA from 1 species
AAGGAGAAGCCCCUUGUACCAGGUGGUCUUGGCACCAUCUAAGCCCACCCAUUCCCAUGGGCACCACCCUGCCACAAACACUGCAGGGAACCUUCUGCUGUGGAAUGGUCUUCCUUGCCCUAGAUUGCAACUAUAGCCAUUGAAUAACCGGCCCAGUUUCCAGAAGUUAGUUGUGGGCCACUUGACGUAGCAUUGGGAACCAAACUCAGGUCCCCUUAGCCAUCUCGCCAGCCCUCUGUGUUUACUUUAAAACAUGGCAUUCAUUGAGGGUAUUAAAUGGGCACAGACCAGAGCAUGUAGGUACAAGUUGACCCUUCUGUCUCUGCCUUCCUCAGUGCUGCCAGGUGCUUGGCAUUCUUGUUUGGAGUGUCCCUACUGCCAUGUGAGAUGCCACGUGGGUAAGCCUGUGGCAGCAUGUGCCAGCAUUCAGUUGGCACUUAUGUGGGUAGGAUUGGAGGUAUGGGUUGCUGUCUUUCUUAGGGUUUUUACUGCUGUGAACAGACACCAUGACCAAGGCAAGUCUUAUAAAAAGACAACAUUUAAUUGGAGCUAGCUUACAGGUUCAGAGGUUCAGUCCAUUAUCAUCAAAGUGGGAGCAUGGCAGUAUCCAUGCAGGCAUGGCAUAGGCAGAGCUGAGAGUUCUACCUCUUCAACCAAAGGCUGGUAGUGGAAGACUUCCAGGCAGCCGGGGUGAGAGUCUUAAGCCCACACCCAGUCACACACCUACUUCAAUAGUCACACCUAUUCCAACAAGGGCAUACCUCCAAAUGGUGCCACUCCCUAGUCCAAACCAUCACAGUUGCCUACUCCAUGAGGCUCCCUGCCCCUGAAAAGGAAAUGCAGGCAGCAUGUAAACCAGGGGGCAGGCUUGAGGCCUGCUGUGCAAACUCAUUCUGAUGGUAUAAUAGAGGGCACAUCUCAGACCCAGGGAGGCUGCUGAGGAAGCAGAAACGGUGGAACCAUUGCUCUCUGGCUUCAUAGUGAGAAAAGUGGAGGAUGUCAGAGGAGGCCCCACAAGUCCUGCACCUGCAGUGUGAGCCUGUGGGCCUACAUGGCCAGGUGCUGGUGCACAGUGGGCUCAUGGGGAGGGAGUCCUGGAGGGUCCAGGCUUUGGAUCAACAUGGGUUGUCUUUUGUUCAGUCAUGUGUUCAUCAGGCCUGAGUUUGUUUUGUUUUUGUUUUGAGACAGGGUUUCUCUGUGUAGCCCUGGCUGUCCUGGAACUCACUCUAUCUAGAUCACGCUGGCCUUGAGCUCAAAGGGACCUUGCUGCCUCUGUCUUCACCAAUACCACCGCCCAGCCUUUGAUGGGCGUUUCUGACCACGUGAAGUUGACUGUAUUUCUCUCCAUUGGCUGGCUGUACUUUUUGCUUCGGAAGCUAUCUAUACAAGCUUUUGCCUAUUUUGUUAUCUUUUGCAAAUUGAUUAGCUUUUUCCACUUUUCACGCUUUGUUAAAUCUUAAAAUUUC